rnacentral:lncRNA from 1 species
UAGCAUUUGAGGUAUUCUCGACCGACCAAACUACUAAGCAAAUUACUUCCCAACAGAAUAUUAAGAAAACUAAAACCUUAUUUGAUUAAUUCAAAUUCAGUGGCCAAGAGGCAAGAUUCCCAAAAAUAUAUAUGCUUUGUUCAACUUACAAAAGGCUGGCAUAUCAACAAUUCUAACAGGAUGUAAAAAUCACAAAAGUACAAUCUAAAGUUUUCCAUGUAAAAAAGAAUGAUCAUCAUGUGAUUCCACAUUUGGCUAUGAGGCACAUACAAAAGCCUGUGGAGCCUAUCUGACAGAAAAAUUCUGUACAUUUCACUUGGGAAUACUCCUACAUAGUACAGGCACAAAACAUAAGCUUUGUUUGAAUAAUUUCCAGAUUCUACAAAUAUUAAACAGUUUCAGCAUAGCAAUCACAAACAUGUCAUGGAGAAGUCCUAAAUUUCAAUACCAGACAAGGAUAUGAGACCACACUAAUAAAUGAAAACUCAGCAAGUACUUGUUUGUGCACAAUCCUUGUCCAAGCAUUUAAGAACAUAACAUCAAUGCGAUAGUGGAGGAUAGACUCCAGGGUAUUGACUUGGAAAGACAACAAAAGUAUAUAGUUAACUGUAAUUGGCAUGCCAGGGGAGAGUAGGAAAUUCACAUCUUACAAGAAUAUUUACCUGGAGGAUAGGAGUAACCCUAUGGUGGAUAAGGCAAAGGCGGAUAUGCAGGUGAUGACUGAGGUGAAGGAUAAGCAGCCGAUUGAGGGUGAUAAGGAGAUGCUGGAUGAUAUGCUGCUGGAGGGGGUGGGACUGUGGGAUAAGGAGAAGCUGGAUAAAAUGCUGAAGGAGGCGAGGCUGUGGAAUAAGGAGAUGGUGCUGGAUAGCCAGAAGGUGUUGGGUGAGAAGCUACAUGUGGUGUUACAUAUGGAGUGCCUGAUUGAGCAUGACUUGAACCUCAACUACCCCUAAUUCUUCACCCAACUUGAAGCCAACAUGUGACCCAAUUGUGUCUAGUAUGCCUAAAGGUCUAUAAGUCUCUUUGUAGAAAGAGCUGAUCCAUGACUCCGAUUGGACAACCAGAAGUAGACAAUUAAUAGGGAGAAAGUUGAACAAAAAAAUUUUCAACCCUUGUACAGAAUAUAGAUAUCUUAUAAAAGCCUAAGUGCCAUCUGCAUCAGUUGGAACUUAUAGACAGGUCUAUGUUAAUCAAUAAUGAUGAAAUGAAGAACUUUAGUGAUGAAUGUAAGGAAUUACAUCAUAACCAUACGUCCCAGACCUUGGUGUCGCAAAUUGUCAUAUUAAUGUCAAAUGAAAGAGUGGAAGCACAAUGUAGAAGAUUGUCAUAGAUACAAGCAACAAAAGACACAAAUUCAAACUAAGAAGGACCAUAAACACAAUUCUCGCCGCAAAAGAAAGACCAUAGCAAAUUCAUCUAGAAAUGAACUACGUAGCAGUUGUUUUUAUCAAUUUACUGGCCAAGAAGUAUCAUCAAAUCCCUGUGAGAGAACCUUCUAUAGUUGAACCCUAGAAUUAAAUUAAGUAAUUUAAGGAUUAACACUCAACUAACAAACUAAAUAGAUCAUUCAAUCAACUAAGCAACAAUUCCAAAUCAGUAUUGCUAUUGCACAGAACAAUGUUGAUCUCUCGCAACCUUCAAUGAGUGAAAACACAAAUUUCUCUUGAAACGUAGGGUUUUUUACGCCAUCUAGCAGAACCAAAGCAUGAAUCUCAUCAAAAUUCACCAAAAAUGAAAGUAACCCCAUUCAAUUUGUACCUGUACAUGUACGAGUACGGAAUUUAGAAAUCCAUUCGGUAUCCUUCAAUUUAUUACAAGCAACACCUACAAAAAUGAGAAUUCAAAGCAAAUAAUGAAAAGUAAUUCAUAAAAUCUCAGUAUUUUUGCUAUAGUUGAAUGAAGUUCGUACCUGUUACUUCAAGGAGUUGGUCUUGGAUGCCAUAUGGUAUCGACAUGGAAAGUAGAAGAAGACAAGGAUGAGGAGGAAUUUAUGUUUAAAAUUAGCUAUAAAAAAAAAGGGGGUUUUUAUUUUAUAAAGAGAACAAAUCAACCAAUAGGAGGUUUCGUGUUC